UUACUGGGCUAAAUCGCGCGUACAGGUUCGUUACCUUGGAUGUGAAAUCCCCGGGCUCAUCUGGGAACUGCAUUCAAAACUGAAUGACUAGAGUAUGGUACACGGCGGUGGAAUUUCCUCUGUACUUGGUGAAAUGCGUUACAUUAUAAGAAUGAACUCCCUUGGCGAAGGCGACCACCUGGACUAAUACUGACACUGAAGUGCGAAAGCGUGAGGAGCAAAAAGGAAUAGAUACCCUGGUAGUCCACGCCCGUAAAACAUGUCAACUAACCGUUGGAAGCCUUGACCUUUUAUGGCGCGGCUAACCAUUAAUUGACCGCCCGGGGAGUACGGCCGCAAGGUUAAAACUCAAAUGAAUUUAACCGGUGCCCGCACAAGCUGGUGAACAUGUUGUUUAAUUCCAAACAACGCCAAUAACUUACCAGGUCUGAAAUCUCAUGAACUUUAUAAAAUAGAAUGAUGCUUCUGGAACAUUGAAACAGGUGCUGCUGGGUUGUCGACAGCUCUGCCUUGAAGAUGUUGGGUAAAGUCCCGUACCAGCGCAACCUUUGUCCUAAUUACCAAGCAUGUAAUGUGGGGACAUCUAAGGUGAACUGGCGGUGAACAACCGGAAGAAUGGCGGUGGAAUUACCUCCAGUACUACACUG
rnacentral:rRNA from 1 species